GUGUUCGCUUUGGCAGCACAUGUACUAAAAUUAGAACAACACAGAGAAUAACGUGGCCCUGUGCAAGGAUGACACACAAAUUUGUGAAGCAUUCCGUUUUUUU